UAGGUAAACUAUUUUUUGCAAAAACAUAUAUGUAUUUACCCCAUAUAUAU
rnacentral:tRNA from 1 species